rnacentral:misc_RNA from 1 species
GUAGGAUGUUAAGGCCCAUGUUAUUGACCACCAGAUCACGUCCACUACUGAUCGCUGCCAAAAACAGAAUUCCUCUUCAACGGCAUCAUCUCUUCAACAGAUCUCCCUGCUUCCAACUUGAAUCCAAUCGAUUUAACUCCCCAAAACCCUUGGCCCUCCCUGCAAUGUCCACCGAGGAUCCACAGUUGCAAAAUGGAGCCGAACCUGAACCUAUACCAGAACCAAAUUCCGUACCUGAGCCUGCGCGGUCAUCAGUGCCUGAACCACAGGAAACCUCGGAACCAGAACCUGAACCGGCAGCAGUGGCAGUAGUGGAUGCAGAUCCCAAUACAGAGGAACCGAGAGAUGCUUCGAUCCAAUCGAACGAAGUGGAUAAACCUCAAUCCAACGAGCAAGAUGCACGUCCCGAGCUGCGAAAAGACGAAGGGAGCAGAACUUUCACGAUGAGGGAAUUACUUAGUGAAUUGAAAAGCGAAGAAGGAGAGCAUUCCAGUGCUCCUCAAAGUCACCAAAGCACACCGCACUACCAAGCUGAGCAAAAUAGUGCAGCAAUGGAAUUGAUCAAUAGUGUUACAGGUGCUGAUGAGGAAGGUCGGUCUCGCCAACGGAUUCUUACAUUUGCUGCCAAAAGGUAUGCUAGUGCAAUACAGAGAAAUCCUGAAGACUAUGAUGCACUAUACAAUUGGGCAUUGGUUCUUCAGGAAAGUGCAGAUAAUGUUAAUCCAGAUUCUACAUCACCUUCUAAAGAUGCAUUGCUUGAGGAGGCCUGUAAAAAGUACAAUGAGGCUACCCGCCUCUGUCCUACACUUCAUGAUGCCUUUUACAAUUGGGCUAUAGCAAUCUCUGAUCGUGCAAAAAUGCGUGGUCGUACAAAGGAGGCUGAAGAACUGUGGAAGCAGGCAACCCAAAAUUAUGAAAAAGCUGUCCAACUUAACUGGAACAGUCCCCAGGCACUUAACAAUUGGGGUCUUGCUUUGCAGGAACUCAGUGCAAUUGUUCCUGCACGCGAAAAGCAAACAAUUGUCAGAAUUGCUAUUAGCAAGUUUCGUGCAGCAAUACAAUUGCAAUUUGAUUUCCACCGAGCAAUCUACAAUCUUGGAACUGUUUUGUAUGGAUUAGCAGAGGACACAUUAAGAACUGGUGGUGCAACCAAUCCUGAAGAUGUUUCCCCAGAUGAGUUUUAUAGUCAGUCUGCUAUCUACAUUGCAGCUGCUCAUGCAUUGAAACCAAAUUACUCUGUAAGUGUUGGGUAUAAUUGAUUCUCAAUUAGUUUCCUCUUGAUGGAUCAUAGGCUGCCAUUUUGUUUUGAUGUUCUUUUGUGAUUUGAUGGCAUAAAUCAUGUCCUUUAUAAUACAUUUGCUUAACAUAGCACAAUGCAGAUGUUCAUGAUAUUACAGUCUCCAAUAGCAGGAGGAUAAUAAUAUUGAUUAAUAGGCUAAGCUUCUAUUUGAUAUCGUGAUUACAGGUAUACAGCAGUGCCUUGAGACUUGUGCGUUCAAUGGUCAGUAUUACAUUUUAAUGAUAUAUUGUGUUUUUCAAUCCUAAAUGUUUAUUCCUUGUCAAUUCCUAGGUGGCAAACUAUUUAGGUUUUAUUUUGGUUGUAAUUUUUUCUCGGACCUUUCAAUCAUUGGAUGAGACACAUGUCUUGGCAGCUCUAUGGAAUUUAUGCUGGUCUUUUUGUUAGUUGAUAAGUGAUGUCUAACCAGACCUUGGAUUAUCUGCUAGAUCUUGUCUUUAUAUGCGACUGAUAUUACAUAAUGACCUAAACCAUUGUCACCUCACCCAUAAGCUAUUGUAUCUUGAAAAAUGGAUGUUAGUAGAGAAUAAAGCAUUGUACAGACCUUAUUUUUAUCAUUACGUUAGCUUCUGGUGAACUUCUUACUACCCUGGUUAUGCUUUAUGCCUUUAUCUAAUAUCUUAUUCUUUUUUGGGGGAACAACUUAUUCUUUAGUUCAAGUAAUUGCUACAUGUUACUUUUUAACGUGUUUCUAUAUUCAGCAGCUGGAACAUGACUAAGCUGAUAAAAUUUGAGUGAUCCAGUGUAAAAGCUGUUGUUACAUGGUUUAUUGCAAGAUCCAGUUGAAAAAAAUCAUUCUUUUGUACAAAAAAUCUGACAGGAAUUGAUUGUUGACAGUUACCAUUGCCAUAUCUUAAAGUUGGGUAUCUGACUGCACCACCGGCAGGGGAACCAAUUGCACCUCAUAAUGACUGGAAGAGAUCCCAAUUUGUAUUAAAUCAUGAAGGGCUUCAACAGGUAAAUUUUACUUUCUUUGGUGCACAAUUUAUCUAAUAAUGAACCCCUUUAUUUUAGUCCAUUUUGGAACUUGAGUGUCUUCAUUUAUUGCAUAGUUAGUAAAAUUUUCAUCCAUUUUGAUUUUGUUAUGUUUUUGUGAUGACAAUACACCUUGUAUAAUCCUUCAAAGGUAACUUACUUGCUUAACUCUGAAGGGUGCUAUGGAGAAAAUUGAAAAUUAACAAUGAUAUAAAAUGUUGUCCUUGUCUCAUCUGAUGGUUGACCUACUUACACAAGAUGCCAACUUAUCCUGGAUUCUAUUGAAGAUUUUGGCGGAAAAGAUUUGCUGAUCUCAUAAAGAACUCGGCAGUUCUGGAAAUUCAGUAGACAAUGCUUGUAUGACUAGUACUUUGAUCUCCCAAUGAAUGCAAUCACUAUCAUCAAAGAGUGAUUCCUUGAGCUGAGGAGAAUCAGUCUCAAAAAUUACUCUUCCUUGCAUUCACUCUCCUUGCUAACUUGACUGCAUCAGAAAGAUCUGCUUCCCCAGCAAGAGUUGAAGAAACUUCCUUAAUUUGUGCAUGUCCAUGGACCGAUUGUCCUCUAGAAGCCUUGCAGAUUUUGAGUUAAGGAAAGUGUAACAGUUAAAUUAAAAAGACCCGGUUGGGGGAGGAGAGGACACCAAACAAAACCAGUACUAGGGCCUGCUUGGACGAGAUUGUGGGAAUGAGAUAUGUCUUUUAAGUUUUGUUGCAAUUUUGUUGAUGUUUUUAUGUGUUAAGUGGACUAUCAAACAAUCUGUCAUGAGAUUUGAUGGAACUGCUUGUACUAACCUACAUUUCCUUUAUUUUUCCCUCUAUACUUCUUUCUUGUUUUAUCAUUUCCUGGACAGGUUAAUAAAUUAGAGCAAAAACAAGUUCAGAACCUCUUAGGUAGACCAGAUGUCACAAACAGUGAAAAAAGGGCUAUCAAAGUCGAUGUUCCAGAUAUUGUUUCUGUAUCAGCUUGUGCCGAUCUGACUUUGCCACCUGGUUCAGGCCUCUGCAUUGAUACAAUUCAUGGACCAUUUUUCUUGGUUGCUGAUUCAUGGGAGUCCCUGGAUGGCUGGCUGGAUGCAAUCCGGUUAGUUUACACAAUCUAUGCACGGGGUAAAAGUGAAGUCCUAGCAGGUAUUGUCACAGGCUGAUUAUAUUUAUUAUUACAUUCAUGACCAAUGCAAUAUACUUGUCAAGAUUUAUGGUAUUCAAAUUUGGUCAUUUGAAUAAGAAUUCUGUAUAUUCAAAAUUUUGGCAUAGCGUGAGGUUUAUCAAAUAUUCACUGCAUUACAUAUUGAGUGUAGAUUGUUUUGUUUUAUACGGCCUAUGAGUAUUCUUGUUCAGACUCUUGAUGUGACACAAUGGGAUGAGUUGAACGUAUUGUUCACUUAGAUAAUAUGCAGUCUUUUGAUAAUGACAGUAGAACCUAAAAAUUUCUAACUAAAACAUGAUCUCUGCACAUUUUACUGUUAUACUUUGGAGGAAGAAGUUACCUGUGCAUAUGACAGGUUGUACUCCGAACGACACUAUUUGCUUUAAAGUACAAGUUACCUUUAAAGCUUUUUGUUUUGGCAACUAAAAAGCAAAAAUUAUCAAAAUUCUUCCCACUUAUUUGCUGUGGGUUUAAGGAAGUUUGUGAGAUGGAGGGACCAUGGGAUUGUCCUACCCUACAAUUUAUCUGAUUAGCUUGCUUUUCAUGUCGUGUAUAAAAGAAAGGAAAUUAAACAAAAUAAUUGCAGAAAAAAACUUGGAAUGUCCAAUCAUAGCAGAUAAAAGAUGAGAAAUAUAUCAUGUAUAUGGUAACUAUGGCAAUAACCUACAGUUAAGUCUGCCAAAUCAAAGGGCACGCUAGGGGGGUGCCAAUUGUACUUGAGGCUACCCAAAUCCUGAAUCUUCAUUUUCAUGAGGUUUCUCUAGGAAGGUAUAAAUUUCAUGCAUAUUGGUGGUUUUAUUUUGGCCAAAGCAAGAAUAGCAGCAGGAAGAGUCCACAGACCUUCUCCACAGAUCAAUCCUGAAGCGACUGCUGGUAUCAUCAACUCUGCCUUCUCGGAGUUGAGUUUGUGCCAUGCAAAAACAAUUAAACUUCCAACGCACAUAUCAAUGGCAAAGUAAGCGCCAACAAGAAAGGGCACUGCCAUGACCAUCGGAAGAGGUAUCCAUGGUCCAAGUUUCUGUGGCGAGAGAUCUCUUGCGAGGUUAACUGCUACUGCAAAACCAAAGAAGCCAUAACAAAGCUGCAAACAAUGGUGAGGCAAAGCCGAGAAACCCUGAACACCAAUAAUUGCCAUGUUUCUAUAGAUUAG